UAGAUUUGACUGAUUUAUUUCAACAUUUUAACAGCUUCUAUAAUAAUGUAGUAGUUGUUGGUACAUAGAAUUAAAUAUUAAAUCUGAAUCAGAUUUUUAGCCAAUUAAGGGCAAGGAGAGUUUGUGAGUCUCACUGCCAUGGGCAAGAAAUAGUUCUUAUAGCAUGAGGUUUUGGUCAUGACAGACCUCAACUUUUUACCAGAGGAAAGGGGUUAAAACAGAUGUCCAGGGUGGGAGGGACCUGCCCUAAUUCUCCUGCACUCCUGGUUCUGGAUAAGUCCUGAGGAGAUGGCAGACUGCAGCUGAAUAUCUUCUCUGUAGACCGGAUGAUGUUAUGGAGCCUGUCCUUGUUGAAAAUGUUGCUUUUUAAUAUUUUUCUCCCUUUAUGUUCGUCAGGGUCAGCAUCAGACAGCCCCACAGAAGAGGAUCUGAUUAGAAAGUAUUUCCAUGAUGGCUACAGCUACGAUGAAAUUUUUGGAUUUCCUGGCAACAACUCACAUGUUAAAAUGAGCCUUUGCUCUCUAAAGAGUAAAUUGAAAAGUUUUUCAUUGUCCAGGAAAACACAUUUCUCUCCUCUUAAUACUGUCCGUGCUGCCAUACAAGAAGAGCUGAAGGGUCCAGGCCAGCAUUAUGGCUACCGUUCCAUGUGGCAGAUAUUGCGCCAGAAGUACUCUCUCACAAUGAGAAGGGAUGAUGUCAUGACGUUGACGAGAGAGCUUGAUCCCUCAGGAGUUCCACUUCGAGCAAGACGAAGAUUUGUGAGAAGAGUUUACAGCUCCUGUGGACCAAACCAUGUCUGGCAUGUUGAUGGUUAUGACAAAUUAAAACCAUAUGGUUUGGCCAUUAGUGGCUGUAUAGAUGGCUACUCCCGCAAAGUACUGUGGUUGGUGUGUGGCGCAAGCAAUAAUGAUGUUGGGGUCAUUGCGCAAAACUAUCUGCAUUGUGUCUCAGAAUGUGGUAUCAUACCAAUGCAGCUUCGCACAGAUUGUGGUACAGAAAAUGGAACAAUGGUGGCAAUCCAGUGUGCCUUAUGAUCAAAACACACUGAUGGUUUUGCUGGGGCUGCCAGUCAUAUGUAUGGCUCCUCAACCGCAAACCAACGGAUCGAAAGCUGGUGGUCAUACUUCCGAAAACAAAGGUCUCAAUUCUGGAUUGACCUCAUGAAUGACUUGAAGGAGAGACAUCUCUUCAGUGGAAGUCGGGGGCACGCAUGUCUUGUCCGGUUCGUGUUCCUAGGUGUGCUACAGAGGGACCUGGAUGAAAGCAGGGAAAAGUGGAACACGCAUGCCAUCAGACCUGUGAACCAGUCUUGCUGUCCAUCUGGUAAACCAGAUGUCAUGUACAACCUGCCUCACAGGUUUGGUGGAACUGACUGUGGGUUCCCACUCACACAGGAGGAAUUGGGCCAGUUUGCAUUUGAGUCAACCUACAGUCAAUGUGGAGAUGACCAUCUUCAGGCCCGCUUUGAAGAUCUACAGAGACGGAGGGGUCUGCUGCAGCCUUUGACAAGGGAGUCCUGUGUGGAAAAUUAUAUCAGACUGAAGAACAUGGCUGAUAUGUAAUGGAAUGUUCUGCUGACUGGGAAGCGAGAAGUCGACUGAAAAAUCAGUUUGGGUCGUGGCUGAAUUCCAGAGGGAUGCAAUGUGUUUAAU